rnacentral:rRNA from 1 species
UGCCAGCCGCCGCGGUAACUCGGGGGGCGCAAGCGUUAUUCGGAAUUAUUGGGCGUAAAGGGCGCGCAGGCGGUCUUGUCCGUCAGGUGUGAAAGCUCGGGGCUCAACCCCGGAAGUGCACUUGAAACAGCAAGACUUGAAUACGGUAGAGGUGAGUGGAAUUCCGAGUGUAGAGGUGAAAUUCGUAGAUAUAGGAAGGAACACCAGUGGCGAAGGCGACUACCUGGACCGAUAUUGACACUGAGGUGCGAAAGCGUGGGGAGCAAACCGGAUUAGAUA